rnacentral:rRNA from 1 species
CAGUAGCCGCGGUAAUACGGAGGGGGCUAGCGUUGUUCGGAAUUACUGGGCGUAAAGGGUGCGUAGGCGGCUUGACAAGUCUUGUGUGAAAUCUAUGGGCUCAACCCAUAGUCUGCACGGGAAACUGUCGGGCUUGAGAAUGGGAGAGGUGAGUGGAAUUUCCGGUGUAGCGGUGAAAUGCGUAGAUAUCGGAAGGAACACCUGUGGCGAAAGCGGCUCACUGGACCAUUUCUGACGCUGAUGCACGAAAGCUAGGGGAGCAAACAGGAUUAGAUACCCCUGUAGUCCCUGUCUAUUAUAC